UCUAACAAUUCAAGAGAUUACUUUGGAUUUAUUUAGUGAAAAACCUCAACAUUUUUUAUCCCUUUAAAUUUCUUUCCACUCAUUUUAAUCAGUGGAAGUGGUUGCCAGGUUUGUUUCAGUUUUAAGGAUUUUCACCACCAACCAAGUGACACAGACAGAGAAAAAGUUGUAGAGAUUAGAGAUGUUUGGUGAUUCUGACCCAUUUCUGAGCGACUGUCUCAUGACCGCAGCGUGUUGUCCUGCUGUCCCCCCCCUCUCUCUCUCUCUCUCUCUUCUUCUCUCUCUCUUCUCUCUCUCUGUCUCUCUCUUCUUCUCUCUCUCUCUUCACUCUCUCUCUCUUCUCUCUUUUUCUCUCUCUCUUUUCCUGGCAUCUCCAGGGAAACGAAUCUCCGAAGGAAACAAACUCCUUUCUGGCAUCUGGCCGCCGCAGGGAAGGAGAGAUUGUCAGAGCGCAUUUCUUCGCCGUUUGUGUUUUGUUUACUCCUCUCUUCCUCUCCUCCACAUCAUUAGGUAAACGGAGGAGAAGAAGAAGAAGAAGAAGAAGAAGUGGCAGCAUCAUCCCCACUGCAGAACUAUUCCACCUGAAGCCGUUCUUUGGAAACUACCGAAAUGAUUCUCGUGUUUUGAUCUGGUCACCUUCCCUCCAACAUGGCUGCCAACAAGCAGCAGAGGAAGUCAGUGACGCGUUUGCUCCAGAGGAAGAGGAGGAGGAGGAAGAUGCCUGGCAGGCUGAGGAUUCAUGUGAGCCUCUGAUGGAACGAUGGAGACUCACUGACCUCUGACCUGAGGAAGAGGAACAACUCUUCCUCACUCUGAAAGACUUCGAACGUCUGUGACUAAAUGGAGGUCCGGGGGCCGCUGGUUGGAUGAACAAUUGAUUGGUUGGAUGGAUGGAUGGAUGGAUGGAUGGUUGGAUGCAGUCGUGGAGGAAUGGCGUCUCCUUAAGCCCCUCCCCCUUCCACACUCCAACAAAUUAAAAUUCACAAAACUUCCUGGUUUUUGUGUAGCAAUAAUAAAUUGCCACAUGAUUCAGCAACAACUAAAGGAAACUUCCUCCAUGUUGAAAACUUGUUAGCAACUGAAGAUGCUUUUUAUGUUGCAACCCUUUUCUGAUGCUGCCCUGGGCAACCGCCCAUAUCACAAGCCGCCAUUAAAAUCUCGACAACUUAGAGUUGCUGUUGACAUCUGGAACAUUGCCCAACAUUUGAUUUAAAAUGAACGAUUCUGUUAUUGGUGUUCUUAGGAUCUAAAGCAACUUUUACUGCCUUGUUGCUGAAACAUGCAACACAAAUCAACUUGAUUGAUUUUUUUAUGGUAACAUACCAACAACGUCAGAGAAGUUUGUUGGUCAACAUGUCCGUCAAUUUCAACUUUUCCCUACAGAAAACAAACAUAAAGAUCUUCGUUGCUUUCAGAGAUGGCAACUAACAACACAGGUUGCCGUGUGGCAAAAUGCAUAAAGCAACUGAGCAACUCGUCUUUCUGCAACGGCAGAUAAGAACGAGGGUCAACAACCCGUCAGCCAGGAACCUGGAGUUCCCCCAAUCAAAAGUUCCAUUAACUGGGAGCACUGGGAGCUAAUUGAGAGCAGGAUGGGGCAACAUGAGGCUGCGUGGGAUCAGAAGACGGAGAAAACAGAGAACAUAUAACAAGAGUACAGCGACCUUUGACCUGCUUUAGGAGAGAGAGAGAGAGAGAGAGAAAAAACAUCCACAAGUUUACAUGACUGACGAUUCACUGCUUCACACGUCCGUCCAUCCAACCAUCCAUCCAACCAACCAAACCAUCCAUCCGUCCAGCAGCUAAUUGACAGCAGGUUACUUUGAGAUGAGUCUCUCUUGGAUAAUAAAAUGGAAAACUCUGCAACCAACAGCAAAGGACAGGAAAGCACCCAGACUCCGGUGACCUUUGACCUGCUUUAAGAGAGAGAAACAUCCAGAAAUCUGCAUUUCUAACGAUUUAUGAUUCCCCGCGCCAUGAAAGCGUGUUCAUUAUGUCUGCACACCAUUUCCUGAUGGCUGUGGAAGAUUUCCUCCUAAUCCGUGUCCGCGGCGCCGUAAGCAUCGGCACGGCGACGCCUGGGCCAACUUUUGUUCCCAGUAAUCCCCCCAACCCCAGCAGGGGAGGUCAGGUCUGUCAAAAUGUGGCAGUGAUCACAGAAACCCCCCCAGCGCCUCAUUCGCCUUAAUAAGGAAUUAAAAAUGCAUGAAAUCCUGAACCUUGGAUCUCAGAGGGAGAAGUGUCAACAACUCUGAGAUGAAGAGUUUCUGAAACGAGGGUGGAAUGGAGAGCAGAACGUUAUCCGGGUUUGGACCAGAAACAUCUGACCAAUCCAGGAAGAUUUAUCCGUCUGAGCAGAGAACUUCAGGUUUGACUCUGAAUCUGAUUCUGCUGUUGGGAUGAGACUGGAGGAAACAACACACCAAGACCACGACUCAGCAUUCUGAGGCCAUGACUCGCCAUUCAGAGGCCAUGACUCGGCAUUCAGAGGUCAAGACUCGGCAUUCAGAGGCCAUGACUCGGCAUUCAGAGGUCAAGACUCAGCAUUCAGAGGCCAUGACUCGGCAUUCAGAGGUCAAGACUCGGCAUUCAGAGGCCAUGACUCGGCAUUCAGAGGUCAAGACUCAGCAUUCAGAGGCCAUGACUCAGCAUUCAGAGGCCAUGACUCGGCAUUCAGAGGUCAAGACUCAGCAUUCAGAGGCCAUGACUCAGCAUUCAGAGGCCAUGACUCGGAAUUUCCAGAAACAAGAGAAUAUUGCUGAGAGAUAUCAGCAGCGCAUCCAUCCAUCCAUAUAAAAACUUUAAAAAAUGAUAAAAUAAACUCUUUCCUAAGGAUUGAAUUUAAAUGUCUGUUGACUCUUUAUGAUUUAAUUUUCUGUUUCUGUUCAUAAAUCGAGUGACUUUGUUUGGUAAAUGCCUUUAGUCGCCAUUUGUUGUGAGCUGAUGUCUCACAAACAAACUACUAAAUACUUUGACAUCAACCAAACUACAGAUAGAAAUCACUUCUUUGACUUUUAAAAACUUCCUAACCUUACCCGCUAACGGAUGGCGCCGCGGAGCGGCCAUCUUUCAGCGCGCCGGACAGCUUGACCGGUGGAGCGACCUCCGGAUGACGGAUGGCGCGCAGCCGGAAACCGCCGCCUGUAUCAGGCAGCGUUCACACCCCAACACAGAUUCCUAUCAAACUGUAUUGGAUCCAGUAAUUUCCUUUUCCAAGACGAAUGGACGGAGAUAGUGAGGAGAGGAUGGAGGUUAUCCUCUGCAACUCUCAGCUGAUUAUUAUUUAUGAUGCGUUUGGCGUUUCUGGGUUGUUCUGAUCCAUCCUGGUUAUUAAUCUCACUGGUCAGGAUGUUCACUGCUAAUAAACGAUCACUUAUUCAAUAUAAAAAUAAAUUCUAUUAAUGGAAACAAGCCAAUUUAAACCAAAACUCUUUUCUAGAACAGCUUUUUGGUGCUAGGAUGAGGUUUUUCUUUCUAAAUUGGUUUAUUUCACAAAACUGCAAUGGCAGCUGGAUGUCUCCACUGGCGCAAACCAUGAAGAAGAAGACAGGAACUUCCUCAUCCUGUCGCCAAAAUAAGUUUUUCUGAAAUUGCCUGUGAAGCAAAAUUCUUGUAAAAAUGUGAAAUUGCGCCAUUUGAUGGUAAAUAGAAAGUGAGAUUACACUUUGUAAAUCCCGUCGUCACGUCAAACUGUUGGUCAAUGUUUCAUUGAUUAUGUUUCAAGAGUCACUCUAACCAUCUGGGUUUUUAGUCCACAUUUAAAGGAACUCUGUGUUUCGGGUGUUCUUCAGUUUUCUGGAAGUUUGUUCCAGAUUUGUGGAGCGUAGAAGCCGAAUGAAUGCUCUCUCAUCACGGAAACAAACUUACUGAAGUGUCAUUUAAAACACGUCUUGAUUCUUGGAAACACUGCAGUUGCAAACUCGUGUUUUUCCGACAUUAGCAUGAAAUUGAGAAAGUUUUUCGCGCCGCGUCGGACUGAGGCGUUCGCUGAGCAGCAUAUGUUGCGUUUUCUCUCUCUCCGUGUGAACAUGUGUGCAGAAAUCCCACGGCCGCCGACACACGCAGACGCCGCUGAAAGCCGUGUCAGGUAAUUUCACACUCUCACAGGCGUGCAGUGAUGGCGGCAUCCCCCGAGCUAACUCAUUACCUGUCUGCUCCGGCACAGGAUGCACCUUCUGGAGGCGCUGGCAGUAAACAGGUGGAGGUUCGGGGGGGAGUUUGUUCUGCUAAACGCGGCGGUGAAAAGCAAACCGAAGCGGUUCGUUCUCCUCCCGAGGGGCUUCUCGGGGUGAGAACGACAAACCCGGGCAUCGUCACAUGGAGGCUAACCGGCGCAGGCAGCUGCGCUCACCUUGUAGCGACGACAGCUGAGCGGCAAACCGGAUGGGGGUCGAGGUUCACCUUCUGCAGGCUGAGGGACGGGAACCAGGGCCAGAGCCCCGCCAGCUGCCUCCGUCUCUCUGCCCCCACCCAACCUCCUCUGACACCGCCGCACCCCUGGAACCUCGCCGCCACGCGGGAGCUGUCAGGGGGCGGACCUGCCAGGACGCAUCUGGCUGACAGGCGACUGGGAAGGUGCACUGCGAGCGCACGUCACAAUCGAUAACUCCCGCCGAGAGGGACGGAGCGCGGGGCGCGCACCUCCUCUCUGCUUUUAUUUUUAUAGAAAACACGGCGCUGGGAGGCUUGUCACCUAACAACACAUGCUUGCUCCGGGUGUUUGUGUGUUUGUUUUGAGAAAAUACAUAUGCGGCGUGUGCAGGAGUGCAUGCAUGCAUGAAGAGCGGGCUCUGGAGGUGUGAUGCGCGAUGAGAUAAACUGCAGGUCAGCGAUCAGAGAGAGGGAGGAGGACGGAGAACAGAAUGAGAGGAAGCAGCUGAGCGGAAGGAUGGAGUUUGAUUUUGGAUAAAAAGAAGGAAGCAACGAGGAAAAGCUGCGAGGUAAAACGAUGUCGGCCCCGAGGCGUGAAACAAAUCAAUCGAUGAACAAAGAAGCGGGAAGAACAAAACACGACAAGAAAGAAGAUCAAGUUAAAUUACAGAUAAUACGA